UACGUAGGGGGCAAGCGUUGUCCGGAAUCAUUGGGCGUAAAGCGCGUGUAGGCGGCCCGAUAAGUCCGCUGUGAAAGUCCAGGGCUCAACCCUGGGAUGCCGGUGGAUACUGUCGGGCUCGAGUCCGGAAGAGGAGUGUGGAAUUCCUGGUGUAGCGGUGAAAUGCGCAGAUAUCAGGAGGAACACCAAUGGCGAAGGCAGCACUCUGGGACGUGACUGACGCUGAGACGCGAAAGCGUGGGGAGCGAACCGG
rnacentral:rRNA from 1 species